UUGCGUAUAGCUCAGCGGUAGAGCAAUUGACUUUUAAUCAAUUGGCCGUAAGUUCAAAUCUUACUACGCACA
rnacentral:tRNA from 1 species